AUGAGCUGCUAGGAACGCCGAGGGUGCCAGGGAAUGAACGUGCUUAUUUCUGACUUCUGAGAGGAUAUAAUCCAAAUGACAGAUACCCAAUAGGCCCAAGGUUCAGCGCUUGGAAAGCAGCAAGACUCGAAGCCACCUGCGGUUGGCGAUGGAAAAUGCAGCAUUGCUUCAAGCCUUUACUUCAUGUCUCUACUUUCCUGCUAUGAUGGAUUAUACCUUGGAAUGGUGACACUAUUGACGCCUCACCUGCUGUUCCGGAGGAGGUGAGUCUGGGAGGAAUCUGCAGACCAGCUCCACAGUGGACACCGGAAGCAGUGAAAACCGAUUUCGCUCACAUAGUGUUACUGAGAAAAGAAUCCAAAGGGCAAACUUCACUUCUGAUGGAGGCAGUUGAAGGCCUUGCUGGUGAACAAUAUUGCCUUUACAUUUUUGAAGACGGAAGCAGGCAUCGUUCUGAAGGGAGCGAAGGUCAUUUAUCCUCCAAGGAGCCGAAGAACCACUGAUACAAGAAGAGUUAUUUUGGAGAGGCUGAGCCCUGCCUUUCUUCUUCCACCCAGGAAGAAAAUAAUAGUUACCAUUUUGGCCGAGGCGGGGGUAUGAGGCUAAUCAGCAGUGUUAGGAAAAAAAGAGUUCUCACUUGUUACAAUGUCACGUAUAAUCCCUUAAGGGCCAACGCUUGCAAGUUACAGAAAAGAGUUUGGUUUCCUGGGAUAAGCAAUACCACGGAAAUCUAAGCAUUAGGAAAAGUAAAAGUAUCAAAGUAAUUGAGAAACACUCCCUUGUGAAUGUCAACGUCCAGGGGCGCUACUGAAAUUAGCCAAAGUGCGGUAGGGAAGGUGGUGGGAUUAUAGCUUGAGACGAUUUCUUAGGUAAUAUCAAUGAUGACAAUUAUUAUCUUUAUGACAGAAGUCAGUACGGAGUCACAGUUUUAUACACUGGUAGAACUUAGGACUGCCAGGCGUGAUAAUGAGCUGACUCGCUCAAUUCGUAGAAGGGAUUUCAUCGUACUUGGGAAUCAUGCUCCUCUAACAGCUUAGCAAAUCCCUUAAAGUAAGAUGCACAGUAAUGAUGGUAGGAGGAGAAAAUUACUUUUCCAGGACCUCCAGAGCUGGUAUUCUGCUUAAGGUGUGCCUAUUGGCUAAGAUAACUGGGAUUAAACUCCUGCCUACAUAUUAAAACAUACUUUAAUGCCCCGAUCUCCAGGUUCAUGCUAACCCCCUCACCCUCCCGGUGUUAGCUAAUAGUUGUUUCAAUAUGGAGGAAGGCAGCCAUAUUUCCACAAUGAAUCUACAUGGUUGGCUGCGGCUGGAUCUGGCUGCUUGGGGUAGGCUUGGGUUGCGGCCAAGGACAAAUGGCUUCCUUACACAUUAAAAGCAUAAACUUUUGCUCUGAGCCAUCGGAUUUGUUUUGCUCUAGGUUUUUGCAUUCAUAAUUUAAUAUAGUGCUGAUUUUCCAGGCCCCUUUAAAAUUCCAUUAAUUGAGCUUGAUUGGAUUGUUAUGAAACUUAGACCGUCUCACAGAGGCAAAGGAAUGACACCACAAAACUAGAGUGACAGGGGUAGGGAAGGGGAGAGAUUGGAAAAAUGAGCAGGGUGGGGUGGGGAGUGGGAGAAGAAACAGUUCUGUACUCUGGAAGGCUACAAAGAUCUUUGUUGUGUUCCAGGAGGAAAUGGGGAAAGGAGGAGGGGCUUGGGACUCACUGAGCACUCUUUAUGACUUGAUCUAGCAUGUGCUAACUCUUUCAAGUCUCACAGUAACUCUUUAUGGUAUACGCUAUUGUUCUAUUUACAGAUAAAUGGAGGCUCAGAUUCACCUAGUAACAGUGAAGUCAGGAUCGGAAACAAGACUCCUUCCUUCCUUUCCUUCCUCUCUUGUUCCUGCCCCUCCUUCCUCUCUCCCCUUUUGCCCCCACCAAAGUGGAUUUCUGCCCCCCUCUCCCUCCAGCCUCUUCACGAGUGGCUUGCAGAAGAGAGUUUGGAUUUCUUUCUGCUGCAUCUAUGGUGGACGCUUGUUUAUCCCAUGUUUUCUAAUUCUUCAAGUGCAUCUGAAAUCCAGGCUGCCCUCCCACACAGGUUGCAGUGGUUCCCCAGAAGUCCUGGGCAUCUGGGGCUUGUACAACAGCAGUCUGCUUCUAUGUCAGGCCGUACAGUGGAUUAGAUUCCUUAUCGUUAGUAGAGCAAAGUUUCUGACGGGAGCAGUCUCAGGAGCGAAGGGUUUAUUUUAUUUAGCCUGCGGUGUCAGAAGAGUUCCGACCUCUAUGGUGAGGGUGGCAAAGUGGAAACCAGCAGCAAGUGGUUCACAUGGGUGUAGAAUGGGAACCCAGCCCGAUCACGGACCCAGCCGUGGUCAUAACGAUCAAUGGCCCACCCAGAGCGAUCUAAUCCUCCCAGCUGACCGUCACCUCCUACGGACACCAGAGCCUUGGGAACAGAACUGCAACCAAGCAUGUGACCAAGCAUGGAUAACAUUUCAGAUGCAAACAAUAACAGUGUCUGCAGCCACCAGGCAGGGUUGUCAUUGUCUUUCAGUAGAAGACCUAGAGGGCUGGGCAGGAAUGAACAAGAAUUCAGGGGAAGAAUGAGACCAGGCCUCAGUUUCACAAUUUGGCCUGAGUCACACUGAGGCCUACAGAGCAAAAGCUGCGCCUGUUACCUACCUCAGCCGAUUGUGUCUUAGUGUUAAUUUCAGUCAGGGGAGGUGGGAAGACCAGAAGGUCAUUUUUUUACAGAAUGAGUUCAAGGCUGGACUGGAUUACACGAAAGGCUGUCAUAAAAUACCCAAAUCCCAAACCAAACAUACAGUACCGAAUGCCACAACAGUAUGGGAAUCCCCGAGGCCCUGAAGAUAGGGAGUCAGGAGCCCCACACCUGCUACCUUCAAGAAGACCUGAGUCCCAGGUUAAAAGUGACAGAAGGUGUCUGUAGGGAGAUGAGCAAGGCUGUUCUGGUAUCUCAUUGGUUCUUCGCUAUGGGUAUCUCCUCCCUCUGGCUAUCUGGAGAGAUCAGGAUUGGAUUUCAACACAGAGGACAAGGGACCCUGCCUCUGCCUGCUCCGUCACCUGGACUCCAGCACUCAGUUCAGGGGAGUGAGUUUGCUCUCCAGGUGGGGGAGCUGGAUAGACUAUAGUACUCAGCGGUUAAUUAGCAGCUUAGCUAAAUAGCUGAUAACUUAAAGUAUAAAAUGCAUUCUAGAUAUUGCAUAGGAGACGCUUAAGCUAAAAAUGUAUUUAUUGGGCCGAAGAGUUGGCUCAGAGGUUAGGAGCACUUACUGCUCUUCUAGAGGUCGUGGGUUCGAUUCUCCACCCAAGUUCUCUGCAACCUCAAGUGUUCGUGAAACCACUGAGCCAUCUCUCCAGCCCUUGUCCCAAUGAAGAAGGGCUGAAUGCAGGUGGAAGUUAUAUAAGAGGAUUGAAAGCUAAUUUUUUUCCUACUUCUGAUUCUUUCAAUUCUCUUGUUUGUUUUUGACAGCGGAUAGGUGCAUACAAUGUAUUUGGUGAUGAAAAUGUGAAAUUCAAUGUGAAACUUCACAGCUCCUGUUCACAAAGCCUGUUCUAACCGUAUGGAAAUUCUUAGAAUUGUAUAGACUUUGGGUCGGGAUAAUUUUGGUCUGUGAUGGUUUUAUUUCUUUGCAAGGUUUUGGGUUUUGGUUUGCAAAGAGGAAGUGAGCACACGGUUAGCAACUUGACCACUCUCAUCUUAAGUGUCUCAGAGUGUUUCCUGCCUUCCUAUUUUCCACAGACAUGGAGUAUCUUCUAGCUUGGAUUUCAUUGUUUCAGUCCUCAUUUAAAAGCUGCCCUGAUCUGGGAGUGUUCAAACCUGGCAGCCCAUAAACACAGUAUAGUUAUACCUUAGUAGGCUCCUCAGACUGACUUGCUGUCCUGCACAACCGACCAGGGGCUGGCUUUCCCUGAAGCGCCCAGUGUUGCAAAGCAGAUGGAAAAGCAACAGCCCCUCCUCCCACCCCUGCUAACUUCAUUCAGGAAGCACUCCAGUCUCUGUUUUCAGGUUCUGCCUUCGAUCUAUAGGUCACUUUUUAUACUACCAUAUCAGUGGAGUUAAAGUCCUAGACAACAUGAGCUUGCUAUGGUAUCUUUCUGGAAAUUAUAAAGAUAAGAUUUUUUAUUUAUAUCGUGUGCAUGUGUGUGGGUAUGGCACAGGUAGAAGUCAGGGGACAGUUUGAGGGGGUCAGGUCUGUCACUCUACUUACUACGUGGAACCCAGAUACUUGGGUCUUCAGGCCGGCCGGUGAGUGCUCUUACUGAUUGGUUGUGCAACAUUUUUGCUCAAACCAGUCGGGUUGUGGUAAGGCAGGCAUACUCAUGGUGAAAGUAUAAACUGUCAAUUUUCAGCACCUUUCCUGGUUUAGUUUUAUGUAUUUUCCCCUUCUUCCUUCUGGGACGAAUCUUUGGAUUUAAAAAUGUAAAGAUAGUGCAUUUCUGGAGGGUUUUGUUUGUUUGUUUGUUGUUUUUCUUCCAUCAGUAAGAAGUUUACUUCUUUUUUAAAUAUCCAAAUGCUGGCAUUGUCCAGAAAAUUUUAACGGGUUUAUUUAUAAUUGUUAUAAAGUCGAACUAUUGAGAUGUGUUCACUGAGACAUUUUGCUUGCAUUGAUGUUUUACAUCUCGCAUUUAUAUUAAAAAUUCACACACAAAUGAACGUGGAGAAACUGCCAGUACCUGAUUCUGUCCCCUAUGCUUCCACUCGCAAUCAUAGAUUUAGGUACCUUUGACCCCGUGGAAAAAAUAUCUAACAUUCAGAACUACGAUAACAGGAAGAAGGAAAAUAAUCUUUUUGAGAAUGAAAUGUCUCCCCUCAUAGUGGAGUCUUAAGCACGUUCUCUGCGUAUGCGGCGUGCUAGCUGGAUGUCUUUUGGCAUAACUAUUUCACGUUUGGCAUGGCUAGCACCCAGGUUGGUAUCUUCGAAAAGGCCAACCAGAUAGGCCUCACUUGCCUCCUGCAGAGCACCAAUCUCUGCACUCUGGAAGCGCAGGUCUGUUUUGAAGUCCUGAGCCAUUUCUAGCACCAGACGCUGAAAGGGAAGCUUGAGAAUCAGAAGUUUAGGGGACUUCUGACAGUGUCUAAUGUCAUGGAAAGCCACAGUACCAGUCCUGUGAGGAUGAGGUUUCCUCACUCCUCCAGUAGAGGGCGCACUCUUUUGAGAAGUUUUUGUAGCCAUUUUUUCCCUGGAUGCUUUACCACCAGUGGAUUUGCGGGCAGUCCGAUUUGUAUAAGUGAAGUAACAGGUACCUCCUUACUUAUCCCCUUCCUCAUCCCCCUUCUCCUUCGGCUGGAGCUGAGCAGCGCUGGUGUUAGAGAGCAGUUGCGGUGUGGUGUAGCGAUAACUGGGAACACCUUUCCUGGAGAAUUUUUAAGUUCAAGUUUUCUUCAGGAGAUAGACUGUGGUUUUAAUCACCAUGGUUUUGUCUGUUUUGCGCGUGCGCUCUCCCUCUCCCUCUCCCCCUCUCCCUCUCCCUCUCCCUCUCCCCCCCCCCUCUCCCUCUCCCUCUCCCCCCUCUCUCUCCCUCUCUCUCUCUCCCUCCCUCCCUCCCUCCCUCCCUCCCUCCCUCCCUCUCCCUCCCUCCCUUUUUCUCUCUGUCUCUGUCUGCCUCUCUGUCUCUGUCUCUCUCAUUGGUUGUGCUAGGACUUCAGUCGUUUUAACACUGUUAUCACCCAGCCCUUAAUCACUUUGAUUUGAUUGAAGAAAAAAAAAAUCAAUGUUUCACAAACAAUUGAGUCAUCUAGCUGCAUACUGAUUGUAACCUAAUGAUGUCACAAUUUCUUAGAUGUGUUGGGAGCUCUUGAUGUAUACGAUUCCUGUCCUUCUCCCAGUCCAUCAUCCGAGUAAAGCUUCCUUCGUUUAUGCUGGUUUUCCUGUGAGGAACGAAGUGCUUCACCUCUGUCCUUUGAAUAUGUGGAUGGCGGGUGUGUGCACAUAAGGGCAGAAAACUACCCCAUGGUCCUUCGUGUACUAGAAACAAACUCCAUUGUGGAGAAAACUUUAGCACACACAGAUGGCUUACUUUGUGUAGUCAAGUUUCAUGGACUGUGAAAGUUUAAUUCAAAAGGUCUCGAUACAAGGCUGCUACAAAUUUUAAACAAGGAAAAUUACAGCAUUGUAAUUCUGGUGUGACUUAAUUAAAUGUAAGAGAGCCUGAUUUUUUUUCCUUUGUGGUUACCUUAUUAAUCUGUUUUUACUUAUUUUAACGCUCUUCCCUCAUUCACCCCAUAGACUUACUUCUGUUUUGUAUAAGUAGAUCUCCAUGCCACAAACAUGGAAAAAAAAAAAAAGCUAAAGUUUCAAUAAUUUGACCUUGUUUUUUCCCCAUGGGUUUACUUUAAUAUAGUGCCAUUCAAAUGAUAGUCUGUCUGUCUGUCUCCCCGCCACCCCCGUCUCUGAUGAUUUGUAAGAAAAAGGCCAGAUAAUUUUUUUCUAUUAUAGGUGAAGAAUGGAUACUUGGUACCCCAGCCUCGAGUGGUCCUUUGUAGGGUGGCUUUUUUUUUUUUUUUUUUUUUUUUGCACUGUUAAGGCUACAUUCAUCACAAUGUGCUUGUCCUCUAUGUUUGGACAUGAAAGUGGAUGUCAUUGUUGAAUGGUAACAUGGGGGAAUGACUACGUGACAGAAGCAUGUAAAGUAUCUUGUAAUUCAGUAGGAGAGUCAAAGUCGGCCUCAGUGCUUGGCAUUCUCAGGGAUUCAGAAGGGAUUAAAGCGACAAUAGGUGGAGGCUGUACCCGGAGUAACUGAAGGAUAACAUUCCUUGGACCUCAGAGACCUCUGAGUGAAAGGACUCGGGCAAUUAAGGUCUUUAGGAAAUCUAAUGGGGUCAUUUGUGAAUGCCAUCUUCAUGGGACUUGGCAAACUGUCAUCUCAGAGAUCAAGGGAGGUCACUGGCUUGAGGGUGGGACAUGAGGAAAAUAGAGUGCCUGUUUCCUGCCGAGUGUGUCUAAAGACGCUUAGUUUUUGUCUGACACUGGCUAUUAAAAACAAAAAACACAACAACACGCUGACGAGUCUGAAAGCUGAAGACGCCAGCCAUGACUUCGUAAAGUGAGCUCUCCUGAUUUUCUACCUUGCAGGACAUAAUUCAAAGAGUCUGGAUUCGUUUUUUGUUUUGUUUUCCCCCUUCCAGGCAAAUUACCAAAGCACAAUUGUUCGCAAAUAAUUGAAGUUGGCCAAUCACCAAGCGCUUACUAAAUGCAAAUGACGUGUCAUGCUGAAGACAUAAAUAGAAUACAAGAAGGAAACUUUCUUCCGUCAGCUCAAAAUCUCAGGGACAUUCAUAUUAUCCCUACCUUAUCAAAAGCCGGUGUGGGAGUGUUUGGAGAAGCAUAGAGAGAUUCCGAAGCAGGGGGGGUGGGGGUGGGGAUAAAGUUCCGGUGUUCAACGCAAGAGCACCAUACAUUUCAAGGGGGACUGUGACAAUGGGCCAGUGUGGUGUGUCUACAAGGAUUAUAAAUGAUCUGAGAAAUAAGUCACACAGAGAGAGAUGGAAGCAAUUAGAUAGA